GAAAGAUAAGAGGCAUGUGCAGAGCACGUAAAACGUAUAACAUGCAUAUGUGUGUGUGUGUGCGAGGGCGUGGGCACAAGGAUGCUUGAUGGCACACUUUGUACUUCAGGAUGCAAUGAUCAUCUACUUGUUGAUGAUAUCAGUGGGACAUCCAACAGUCAUCUACCUGUGUUGAUGAUAUAUGUGGGACAUCCAACAGUCAUCUAGCCGUUAAUGCAUGUGGGACAUCCAAUGAUUGUCUAGCCGUCAAUGAGAUUGAAGCUUGUAACUUGUAGCUAUUGGGGUGCAUGUAACUUGUAGUUGUUGGGUGGUGCAUGCAACCACCACCACAAUACUAAAUGGGCAGCCACUUGGUGCUCUAUAACGAGGGCCCUCCUACCCAUACGUUUUUAGACAGUUAG
rnacentral:lncRNA from 1 species